GUACACCAGAGCAGCGGGACCGGGCUCAGAGGAGAUAACGCGGAAGAUAGGAGUGUCUGAUCCUCCUUCACACCGGCAUUUCUCCCGGCCUUUCAGCAACGAUACGGCAGACACAUAUUCAGGAGCGGCCCGCGACUGAGAUGGAGAGGACUUUGUCAUCAGUGAGCUCCGCAUACGGAAGCUCCCCGAAGUUGAACACCUCCCACAUGAGCACUCCAAACGACCACACGUCUGUCUUAGUUGAGAAAUCAUCUUCAAACACAGCUUCAGACGGGAGCCAGCGCAGAGGAAUCCAAGACUGCCGACAUCUUUGCUGAGGCCUAAGGCAGACACUUUGACCUGUCGUUUGGAUGAAAUGAGACAGUUGCGAGCAGCAAGGUCUCGGUGGACAAAGCGCUGAUUGGACAGAUGCUCCAUCCCUCGAGCCACCUGCAAACACACCGACACCUGCAGAAAGACAGUGUGUACUGCUUCAAAUCACCCUAGAGAUGAGACACAUUAAUGUGAAUGCAAUUAUAAAUUAUAAAUAAUAUUAAUGUAAAAGCGGUUGACGAUGGAUGGAUGGAUUAAUGUAAAAAAAUUGUAUAGUACAUAAAGAUAUGUAUAAUUCUGUUAUUUGUGACUUCUGAAGACCGGUCACAUUGUGUUCAAUACAGAAAAUGAUGGAGAAAGCCCUUUUAAAUGGCUCAU